rnacentral:rRNA from 1 species
ACGCUUGAAGUCAGUCGCGUUGGCCGGGGAUCAACCUUGCUUUUGCUGGGUGUACUUUCCGGUUGAUGGGUCAGCAUCAAUUUUGACCGUUGGAUAAAGUUCAGGGGAAUGUGGCAUCUUCGGAUGUGUUAUAGCCCUUGGUCGCAUACAACGAUUGGGAUUGAGGAACUCAGCAUGCCGCAAGGCCGGGUACUUGUACCACGUUCAUGCUUAGGAUGCUGGCAUAAUGGCUUUAAUCGACCCGUCUUGAAACACGGACCAAGGAGUC